UAAUGUCUGGGAAACUGCCUGAUGGAGGGGGAGUAACUACUGGAAACGGUAGCUAAUACCGCAUAACGUCGCAAGACCAAAGAGGGGGACCUUCGGGCCUCUUGCCAUCGGAUGUGCCCAGAUGGGAUUAGCUAGUAGGUGGGGUAACGGCUCACCUAGGCGACGAUCCCUAGCUGGUCUGAGAGGAUGACCAGCCACACUGGAACUGAGACACGGUCCAGACUCCUACGGGGGCAGCAUG
rnacentral:rRNA from 1 species